rfam:Schistosoma mattheei strain Denwood, Zambia genome assembly, scaffold: SMTD_contig0009557
AUCCAGCUGACGAGUCCUAAAAAGGACGAAACGCGCGUCCUGGAU